rnacentral:rRNA from 1 species
AUGGACGCAAGUCUGAUGGAGCAACGCCGCGUGAGUGAAGUGGGGUUUCGGCUCGUAAAGCUCUGUUGGUAGUGAAGAAAGAUAGAGGCAGUAACUGGCCUUUAUUUGACGGUAAUUACUUAGAAAGUCACGGCUAACUACGUGCCAGCAGCCGCGGUAAUACGUAGGUGGCAAGCGUUGUCCGGAUUUAUUGGGCGUAAAGCGAGUGCAGGCGGUUCAAUAAGUCUGAUGUGAAAGCCCUCGGCUCAACCGGAGAAUUGCAUCAGAAACUGUUGAACUUGAGUGCAGAAGAGGAGAGUGGAACUCCAUGUGUAGCGGUGGAAUGCGUAGAUAUAUGUAAGAACACCAGUGGCGAAGGCGGCCCUCUGGUCUGCAACUGACGCUGAGGCUCGAAAGCAUGGGUAGCGAACAGGAUUAGAUACCCUGGUAGUCCAUGCCGUAGACGAUGAGUGCUAAGUGUUGGGAGGUUUCCGCCUCUCAGUGCUGCAGCUAACGCAUUAAGCACUCCGCCUGGGGAGUACGACCGCAAGGUUGAAACUCAAAGGAAUUGACGGGGGCCCGCACAAGCGGUGGAGCAUGUGGUUUAAUUCGAAGCAACGCGAAGAACCUUACCAGG